rnacentral:rRNA from 1 species
UCUUUACGGAGAAAGCUUUAUGCACCAUUGGAUGAGCCUGCACUUGAUUAGUUUGUUGGUGGGGUAAUGGCCUACCAAGACUGUGAUCAAUAGCUGAUUUGAGAGGAUGAUCAGCCACAUUGGGACUGAGACACGGCCCAAACUCCUACGGGAGGCAGCAGUGGGGAAUCUUGCACAAUGGAGGAAACU